rnacentral:SRP_RNA from 1 species
UCGUACUAAAUGGGGGGGUAGCGGUACCCUGUAACCUGCAACCCGCUAUAGCAGGAUUGAAGCUGAGCUGAGGAUUUCCUUUUUCAGGGUCUGGCCCUGGAAAGUGGCGAUGAUGAUCGGGUCUUGCGCAAUGGAUCUUUACAAAUUCCGUCAGGUCCGGGAGGAAGCAGCGGUAAGUAAAUGUUUCCAUGUGCCGCAAGGUUGCCUGGUUUGAGCUAACUAACAGGGUAACGCUUGGGAAAGGGAAUUCAAGGCCAGUGUACGG